UACGUAGGGUGCAAGCGUUAAUCGGAAUUACUGGGCGUAAAGCGUGCGCAGGCGGUUUUGUAAGUCUGACGUGAAAGCCCCGGGCUCAACCUGGGAAUUGCGAUGGAGACUGCAAGGCUUGAAUCUGGCAGAGGGGGGUAGAAUUCCACGUGUAGCAGUGAAAUGCGUAGAGAUGUGGAGGAACACCGAUGGCGAAGGCAGCCCCCUGGGUCAAGAUUGACGCUCAUGCACGAAAGCGUGGGGAGCAAACCGG
rnacentral:rRNA from 1 species